GUGCUCCCUUUUCCUGUUCUCUGGCUGCCUGAUGUCAAUGCUCAUAGCUGAGCUAAGAAGGGGGGAUAAGCUGCUACCACCAGGGCAUUCCUGCAGGAUUUUUUUUUGUAGUUAAAGAUGUGAAGCCUCCAUUGUAAAGCAGCCCUGUUAGAAAAUUAGUUCUCUUGAACGAAACAGUCCUGACUUGAGCAAGUGCUGCCAAGCUCUCUGUUCUGAGCAGACAUCAAUGAGAGCUUAGCUUAAAGUCAACUAGCUGUGAUCCCAAAACCAGUUGUCUUUUGAGACUGUAUGUUCUUGUUCCAACUUGUUGGGGUGGGGAGAGAAGAGCAGUUUCAUGAGAAUUCUUGAUAAUGGGAACUGUUGAAUAUCUUGUGGUGAUCGAAUGGAAGUUUUGCUUAUUGUAUUGCAUUUCAAUUAGCAAUGGUUUUGCUCAUGGUACUUGAGCUACUUAUUCCUUUAUAAGCUAUAGGCAAUACAAUAUUUAGUACUAGCGGCUUACUACCUAGGGUAAGACACCCUCAAUGACAAAGUUGCAAUUAAAAGGAAAUCUGAGGCAUUUUAUUGAUCCCUUAGCAAAGAGCAAAGUCAAACUGUAAAAAAAAAAAAAACCAAACCCUGCAGGCUGUGACCUCUAUAGUAUGUGUAGCAAUAGAACAGGGACCUGAACACGCAUCUGUAGAUGAGCUUCUACAAUUCACACCUCAUUUAAUGCUUUAAAAAUGACAGCUGACUCUCUAGCCUUUUAAAACAGGCUGACCUUUGCUGUUAGGCAGUAUAUGUAGAGUUUCCAUCAUAACUGAAGUUGGAGGAGGAAACUCACUCUACCAGUAGGGAUUUGUUGGCACUCUCCUUUCUUGGCUUGAUAAAGUGAAGGAAGGGCAUCUGAGAGUGAACUCAGGAUUUCAAGUGUGACUGUGCUUUCUCCUUGGAGGUGCCUGAGCUGAGGCCAGAAAGACCUGACCUGUGAAAAAGCAGGGGAAAAUUCCAAGGGAAGAGGGAUGACUCACACCAUAACGCAUCAAGAAAGCCAUUUCCAACCACAAGGCUAUUUCUGAAAGAGUGCUUGGCACCGGUGGGGGAAUCUUGGCUACAAGUGGUUGGUUGUAGUGGCACAUGCAAUACCCAAAGGCAGACAUCCUGAUGAAUUUCUGACAGAGCAGGGUGGGAGAUAAUUCAUCCGGCAGCCCAAGGAGGACUCCGUACCUCUCUUCCAGAUAAUUGAACUUUAAUUUAUUUAAAUUUAAUGGAAAACCAUAUGGAGAGGAACAGAAAGCUAAUUUAAAGCACUGCUCAAAGCAAUCAAUAUGUUAACAGAUUCCUUCAACUUUUCACACUUGGUUGCUGAAAAAUGUUUAAAAUGUGUGUUCUUUUUUUUUUAGUGGUAUUAUGAAAACACAGGGUUUCUGGCGGGUUGUAUUCAAAACUCAAGAGCCAAAAUGAGCCUCUGUUGUGGAAAUGAAAAUGUACUUUGAAAGCACAAAUCUCACUAGAACUGAAAAUGACAACUAAGCCAUCUUGUCUCAAAAAAUAUGCAUCUCUGAAGUCUUCUAGGAAGACAGAUAUCAAUCCUAAAAUGUUCAAAUCACUGGUCUGCACAGAGCCCAGAAUAAAAGCAACGACACUGUGGUAUGGAUUACAUUAAUAUAUUGAAAUUGGCCACAGAGUACAGUAAGGAAUGCUUGAUGGAGUGCGUAUGGAUUGUUGCAGGAGACUGUAAAAUCACCAAGUAUGCACAUCAAGGACAAGAGAGAAAUGUUAUCAAUUUUCACAUUUUCCAUAUACAUUUGGUCCACCUCAAGGUCAAUUCUUUCCACACUGACUUUUGAAAACAGUCUUUCAGCAGAUAUUCAACAGCAGGAUAUCUACUAGUGUGUAUCUGCUCUUAGAUGUUGAUCUUCUAAGAUGCUGACUCUUGGAUGUUGACUCUGCCAUCCUGGGUUCAAAUGCUAAUGCUAUUUUGCUCGCAGCAACUUACACGUUGAUUUGAUUUUAUUAUAUAUUGAACAAAAUAUAGGUAAUAUCCUAGAAAAUGAUAAAUAUUCUAAUUAUACUUUCAUAAAGACAUAAUGGUUUAGUAAUGUCAAUGAGCUGUCAGCUUUGUAGACAUUGUUUGCCAUUUACAUCAUGGCUUCAGGCUUGAAGAGUACAGGCUGAAGAAGAAUGGAAGCCUACACUUUCCUCAUGUUUAUUAGCUUGAGAUUGUUAACGAGGCUGGAAGCUGAAAAGGGCAGAUACUCCCCACAAUGAACUUUCAGCAACCCUUACGAAAUCUUCUGGAAAUUCUAUAAAUAGUCUUCAGUCGAACCUCAUUGAGGGCAGGUCCAACUUCUCUGUGGCUUUUUUAAAGCAAAUUAUUCUAAACAGCAUUUUGGACGUUAUUUUUUGCAAGCAAAUGAUCCUUGCAGCCUUUUUCAUUAUCUCAGGCCUGGAAUUCAUUUCAGAUUUGGCAAGUCCUCUCCUCAAAUUCAUGAGCAUGAGCUCCACAGACAUACCUCAAAAGGAAAAUGUAUAAAUAAUGUCUACAGUGGCUUUUUAUUUUUGUUUUAUUUUACUUCAUUUUUAAAAAAAUUAUUAUUGUUAAGAUAAGAUUACGUUUCUUCUAUUCCUUUGCAUCUUUUCCUUCUGGAUUUGUUCUGUGCUGGGAUAGUCCCAACUAUAGAGCAACAGGUAAUUAAAAUUUGGAGGUCCUGCAAA